AAAAGUCGUAACAAGGUCUCCGUUGGUGAACCAGCGGAGGGAUCAUUAUCGAGUCUAAAAAACUCCCUAAACCAUUGUGAACUUACCUAUUCGUUGCUUCGGUGGGCGACCCUUCUAGGGGUCCUCGGUCGCAAGGCGCCCGCCGAAGGUUAUUUAACUCUUGCUUUUUUGUCACAUCUGAGUUAUUACAAAAAUAAUCAAAACUUUCAACAACGGAUCUCUUGGCUCUAG
rnacentral:misc_RNA from 1 species